rnacentral:rRNA from 1 species
CCCAAACCAAUAAAGUUUUCUUUAUUGGGGUUGCGGACAUAUCAUAACGAAGAGGUAUCGUAAUUGAAGAGGUUUGGAAAGACCCACCACAGAAGGUAAUAGUCCUGUAUGUUAAACGAGAAGACUUCAGAUAUGAUCCAGAGUACCACGGGACACGUGAAACCCUGUGGGAAGCAGGAGGGACCACCCUCCAAGGCUAAAUACUACCUAGUGACCGAUAGCGUAUAGUACCGUGAGGGAAAGGUGAAAAGAACCCCGGGAGGGGAGUGAAAUAGAACCUGAAACCCUGCACUUACAAGCUGUGGAAGCACAUUUCUUGUGUGACCGCGUACUUUUUGUAGAACGGGCCAACGAGUUACGUUAAGUAGCAAGGUUAAGCACUUAAGGUGCGGAGCCGUAGCGAAAGCGAGUUUUAACUGAGCGUUCAGUUACUUGACGUAGACCCGAAACCGGGCGACCUACCCAUGAGCAGGACGAAGCGAAAGUAAAAUUUCGUGGAGGUCCGAACCCACGAGCGUUGAAAAGCUCGGGGAUGACUUGUGGGUAGCGGUGAAAUUCCAAUCGAGCCCGGAGAUAGCUGGUUCUCCCCGAAAUAGCUUUAGGGCUAGCCUCAAGGUGAGAGAUACGGAGGUAGAGCACUGAAUGUCCUAGGGGGUAUUGCACCU